UCGAGAAUCGUCCACAAUGCUCGAAAGAGUGAUGGCGCGACGUCGCGUGGUGGAUGAAGCGCUUCGGCGUGUAAACACCUUUUCUGCGUGAGGAAGUUUAUUGACGUUAGCGCAGGUAAUAAGGGGCUCCCAAAUUCGUGCCAGCAGGAGCGGUAACACGAAUGCCCCAAGCGUUAUCCGGAAUCACUGGGCGUACAGGGUCCGCAGGCGGCCGUAUUAGUCCCGCGUUAAAUCGCAAUGCUCAACAUUGUGGCUGCGCUGGAAACGGUACGGCUUGAGGAUGUGAGGGGUGUGCGGAACCGACGGUGUAGGGGUGAAAUCCGUUGAUAUCGUCGGGAACACCGAAAGCGAAAGCAGCACACUGGCGCAUUCCUGACGCUCAUGGACUAAAGCCAGGGUAGCGAACC
rnacentral:rRNA from 1 species